GACGAACCGUGCGAACGUUAUUCGGAAUCACUGGGCUUAAAGCGCGUGUAGGCGGGACGGCACGUCGGCUGCUGAAAUCCCCCGGCUUAACCGGGGAACGGGCACCGAUACGACCGUCCUGGAGGAACGUAGGGGGAGCUGGAACUUCCGGUGGAGCGGUGAAAUGCGUUGAGAUCGGAAGGAACGCCCGUGGCGAAAGCGAGCUCCUGGACGUUUUCUGACGCUGAGACGCGAAAGCCAGGGGAGCGAACGGG
rnacentral:rRNA from 1 species